rnacentral:sRNA from 1 species
UAAAAAUAAUCAUGCCUAUUUUAUUGACAUUCUCCAGGGUUGGUGCAUAACUCACAAGGAGAUGAUGUGCUAGAAAGAACUAGUCCGGUAUCUGCAACAAGCUCUCGUAGCUCUUGUGGUAGCCCAACUCCCAGUGAUUCCAGCUCACAGAAUGCAGCCAUUAACUCGCUAACAGCUGCAGCCAUGAAGCGUGAGGAGACUGCCAAAUUAACAGCUUCUCUUAGCAACUAUUAUAAUGAAAAACUGAUUGGGCAUGUGUUAGGCUGGCAAGCAGACUUAGUGGAGAAACAGGCUGCAAAACUAUGGGAAGAGUCGGUGGCCAAUGGCAGUCUACAGAUUAGUCAGAUAUCUGUUCAACUUAAAAGAGCUCGUUCUCAAGUUCGGAUAGCUGAAAUCCAGUCAACUCUCCAUGAACAAAGGUAUGCUGGAUUAUUUUUUUGUGUGCUCCCUCCCCAGUGUCAUACUUACAUGAAGUAGUUUUCUUUGGCAAAUAUUAUGGUUUAAAAUAUUACAAUAAGCUUUAUGUUGAUUCUGAAAUCUGGCAUCACAAAG